rnacentral:rRNA from 1 species
AAAUUGAAGAGUUUGAUCAUGGCUCAGAUUGAACGCUGGCGGCAGGCCUAACACAUGCAAGUCGAACGGUAACAGGAAGCAGCUUGCUGCUUCGCUGACGAGUGGCGGACGGGUGAGUAAUGUCUGGGAAACUGCCUGAUGGAGGGGGAUAACUACUGGAAACGGUAGCUAAUACCGCAUAACGUCGCAAGACCAAAGAGGGGGACUUUCGGGCCUCUUGCCAUCGGAUGUGCCCAGAUGGGAUUAGCUAGUAGGUGGGGUAACGGCUCACCUAGGCGACGAUCCCUAGCUGGUCUGAGAGGAUGACCAGCCACACUGGAACUGAGACACGGUCCAGACUCCUACGGGAGGCAGCAGUGGGGAAUAUUGCACAAUGGGCGCAAGCCUGAUGCAGCCAUGC